GAUGAACGCUGGCGGCGUGCCUAAUACAUGCAAGUCGAGCGAACGGACGAGAAGCUUGCUUCUCUGAUGUUAGCGGCGGACGGGUGAGUAACACGUGGAUAACCUACCUAUAAGACUGGGAUAACUUCGGGAAACCGGAGCUAAUACCGGAUAAUAUUUUGAACCGCAUGGUUCAAAGGUGAAAGACGGUCUUGCUGUCACUUAUAGAUGGAUCCGCGUUGCAUUAGCUAGUUGGUAAGGUAACGGCUUACCAAGGCAACGAUGCAUAGCCGACCUGAGAGGGUGAUCGGCCACACUGGAACUGAGACACGGUCCAGACUCCUACGGGAGGCAGCAGUAGGGAAUCUUCCGCAAUGGGCGAAAGCCUGACGGAGCAACGCCGCGUGAGUGAUGAAGGUCUUCGGAUCGUAAAACUCUGUUAUUAGGGAAGAACAUAUGUGUAAGUAACUGUGCACAUCUUGACGGUACCUAAUCAGAAAGCCACGGCUAACUACGUG
rnacentral:rRNA from 1 species